rnacentral:rRNA from 1 species
UACAGGGGGGGCAAGCGUUGUUCGGAAUUACUGGGCGUAAAGGGCUCGUAGGCGGCCAACUAAGUCAGACGUGAAAUCCCUCAGCUUAACUGGGGAACUGCGUCUGAUACUGGAUGGCUUGGAUCCGGAAGAGGGAUGCGGAAUUCCAGGUGUAGCGGUGAAAUGCGUAGAUAUCUGGAGGAACACCGGUGGCGAAGGCGGCAUCCUGGGCCGGUAUUGACGCUGAGGAGCGAAAGCCAGGGGAGCAAACGGG